ACAGAAGACCGGUCUGUCGCCGCCGGCUAUGCCGGAGGAGGAAAGUCCGGGCAACGCAGAGCAUCCCACUUCCUAACAGAAAGCUGUCCGUGAGGGUGGAGACAAUGCAGAAGAAAAGAACCGCCUCUUCACAAGGGGUAAGGGUGAGAAGGUGAGGUAAGAGCUCACCAGCCGUAUGGUGACAUGCGGGCUGUGCAUCUUGGGAGUUGUAAGAUCAUGUAUACCGGCGUUAAGAGAGUUGCUCGCUCCAGUCGGAGGGUGGAUUGCUAGAGCCCGGCGGUGACGACGGGCGUAGAUAAAUGACAGACGCCUGACAAAGGUACAGAACCCGGCUUACAGGUCUUCUGCCUCU
rnacentral:RNase_P_RNA from 2 species